UAACACAUGCAGUCGAACGGGCACUUCGGUGCUAGUGGCGGACGGGUGAGUAACGCGUGGGAACAUACCCUUUGGUUCGGAAUAGCCUCGGGAAACUGGGAGUAAUACCGGAUAAGCUCUUCGGAGGAAAGAUUUAUCGCCAAAGGAUUGGCCCGCGUUGGAUUAGGUAGUUGGUGGGGUAAUGGCCUACCAAGCCGACGAUCCAUAGCUGGUUUGAGAGGAUGAUCAGCCACACUGGGACUGAGACACGGNCCAGACUCCUACGGGAGGCAGCAGUGGGGAAUCUUAGACAAUGGGGGCAACCCUGAUCUAGCCAUGCCGCGUGAUCGAUGAAGGCCUUAGGGUUGUAAAGAUCUUUCAGUGGGGAAGAUAAUGACUGUACCGGGAGAAUAAGCCCCGGCUAACUCCGUGCCAGCAGACGCGGUAAUACGGAGGGGGCUAGCGUUGUUCGGAAUUACUGGGCGUAAAGCGCGCGUAGGCGGCUUUGUAAGUUAGAGGUGAAAGCCCGGAGCUCAACUCCGGAAC
rnacentral:rRNA from 1 species